rnacentral:rRNA from 1 species
UACGUAGGGUGCAAGCGUUGUCCGGAAUUACUGGGCGUAAAGCGUGCGCAGGCGGUUUGCUAAGACAGGUGUGAAAUCCCCGGGCUUAACCCGGAAAGGUCAGCCGAUACUGCGGGGCUAGAGUGCAGAAGGGGCAACUGGAAUUCUCGGUGUAGCGGUGAAAUGCGUAGAUAUCGAGAGGAACACCUGCGGCGAAGGCGGGUUGCUGGGCUGACACUGACGCUGAUGCGCGAAAGCGUGGGGAGCAAACAGG